GACGAACGCUGGCGGCGUGCUUAACACAUGCAAGUCGAACGGAAAGGCCCUGCUUUUGUGGGGUGCUCGAAUGGCGAACGGGUGAGUAACACGUGAGUAACCUGCCCUUGACUUUGGGAUAACUUCAGGAAACUGGGGCUAAUACCGGAUAGGAGCUCCUGCUGCAUGGUGGGGGUUGGAAAGUUUCGGCGGUUGGGGAUGGACUCGCGGCUUAUCAGCUUGUUGGUGGGGUAGUGGCUUACCAAGGCUUUGACGGAUAGCCGGCCUGAGAGGGUGACCGGCGACAUUGGGACUGAGAGACGGCCCAGAGUCCUACGGGAGGCAGCAGUGGGGAAUAUUGCACAAUGGGAGGAAGCGUGAUGAAGCAACGCCGCGUGCGGGAUGCCGGCCUUCGGGUUGUAAACCGCUUUAGCCUGUGACGAAGCGUGAGUGACGGUAAUGGGUAAAGAAGCACCGGCUAACUACGUG
rnacentral:rRNA from 1 species